AGGCAGGAAGAAAAGGAUUCUGGGACAGGAAGUGGAGUGGAAGGCGGGCCUUGACCUGGUGAGGAGUCGGCUGCCUGCUUCUCUGAGGGUCCUUCUGUGGGGACCGGGACCCCAGGGGCAGGGAGCUGCCUAGGAAGAGGCGGAGCCAAGUCGGGGGCAGUUGCAGGAGCCUGCUUCUCACUGUCUCCAGCUUUGCUGUUAUUCAUCUGCCCUGUUUUGCUCUGAGCAGUGCUGGUGACCUGGCAGAUGGGGUCUUCGGAGGCCCGGGGGGCUGAGCUGCUGUUCACGCGGUGACCACAGGGGCUGGAAGCAAAGAUCCCUGAGCUGAGGAUCCGGAACCCUCUGUCCCAUCUUCCAGUGACCCCCUAGCGACAGUCUCCUGAAUCCGCGUGGCUCCUGCUGCCAGCAUCAAGGACCACACCUGGGAUGCUGAGGCCAACAGACGUGAGCUACAAAUAAUAAUUGCCCUUCUUGCCAGCAAUUGGAAGGAAACAACACAAGGAGAGAUUAAAUCUCAUGGAUGUUCCAAAGGCCAAACCCCUUCAACAGAGAGGAAAAAGCCAGAACCUGAUUAAGACACCAAGGCCCUCAUGAGCCAGCUUCUCAGUACCCACCCUGGGUGGCCUCUGGUCAGGCUCCUCUCUCCCACUCUACACACCCUCCUGGUGCCCAGCUCUCCUUCUGGAAUGAUCUACCAAAAACUAGUGUCAUCCCUUUACUCCUCUACUUUAUAACACUGACGACUCCUCUGUUGCUUGCAGCGUGGUCCGAAUGCCUUAGCAUGGUUGGCGUGUGAGCCCCUUCAUAGCCUGACCCUCCCAGCCCCCUGCUCUAGUC
ensembl:lncRNA